GAUGAACUAUUCUAGGCGUGAAUUUAAAAAUGAAUUUAAAAUGGAAGAAACCCACAGCUAUUUUCUUAGUGAGCUUUAUAGAUAUUAGCUUAUAGUAUACGGCCAAACUAAUUAUGGCACCUCUACCGUGUCGUGUAUCCAGGUGCCAUAAUCGAGAAGAAAUUUCGAUGUUAUUAGCUGAGUCGGGUUCUCACGACUCACGGAAUGACGGAAGUUCGUCUGCAGUAUGCUAAUUUUCUUCGGUCAGAUUCGCGGGUAUACUCGCUGCGGUGCCUUCGUAGUUCGUACGGUCGUAGGUGUGUGUUGUGUUACAUACUCGGAUCUCUCUCGUUAGAAAGUUUUAGCAAUACAGAAAUGUUUGAUUGAGCUUUUUCAAACAAAGAAAGUCUGCUCACAUGAACUUGUAUUUUGUUUCUCGAUUGCCAAAUCGUACACUUGAUGGUCAUUGUACUGUACACUUGAUUGAUACUCAAAGGUGCUUUCAAGUAGGCUACAGUGUGGCUGUUGAACUUGUCUCAGUUUAUGAAGAAAAUUGUUGAAGAACAAGAACCUGAUUAUGCAAACUUGAGUGUUAAAAGUCAGCAACAUGCUGUGACUAUGAAAAAAUGCUGAUUUAAGGAGAAACUUAAGCCAGUGAGUAUAAUAUCGGUGUUAGUGACGAACAUUGUGGAAUUGUUGUAAGGCAGCCCACCUACAUAUUGCAGGGUUCGAUGGAGUGAAAAUUGGUGAUUGGCCUUUGAUUGGUGAAGCCAUUUAGACAUAGUUGAUCCACAAUGGAUCAAUCUGACAACGAAAUGGGAGUUUGCACACAAAUUUCCGGGAACCAAAUGUGGGCCAAAUCUUUCAACGAAUUAUAGUUCCAUCUUCGGCAUACCCCAUCUUCUGGGCUUUUAAGUUGUGAGACAGCUUAAUACCUAAAUGAAGCAAAUUGAAAAUGUGAAAGGCUGGGAGAACAAUGUUAACAUUUCCGAGAGUAAAAAUCGAAGGGGGGUGGUGACAUUUUCCGUUUUAAGCUCAACACUGAAGAAAUCGUUGAGAAUUGGACGAAUAAGGUUUAACAAUACGCGGUGCCUCUGAGUUCUGACCUCAUCUUCACUAUUCAUGCGCUGCGCACUCGUUUUGGAGGUCGUGGCAAUUCUCUCCGCCUUCGCGCCAACGUCUUAUCCGAGGUCAUCGCGUUGAUUAAGAAGAAGGUUCGAAAUUUGAAGAUUAUCAAUUUCCGUGUGCCGGUAGCAAUCGACAAGAUGUCUUACGGCCGAUGAGUUCAAACAUUUCGGUUUACCACUGGUUAAAAAUAUCCGAACCUACGAACACACUUCUGAAAAUGUCCGUAUUCGAAUAAGUCUUUGAAAUAAAGGCUCUAAUACGAGAAGUAAACCUCAACAAAAUCCACGCUCUCUUUGACGUUUAGAGUCGAUGGGUAUACAUAGAAGUCUUACCGAAAGCACCAAUAUUAAAGCAUGGCUAUCUAUAGAAACAUAUCGUUUUAAACAUCAGCUCUGAGUUCCUAACGCCGAUACAAAUGUAUCCAAGUCUCUUAUGGUCAUCGACGUCUAGAAAACUCCUAGCGCUCGCUUGCGCGCCUUGCAGAACUUACGAGCAAAAUUCAAAAAGCUUUGACAGAACAUCAAUAUCGGUAACGCGCAAUAAUCCCCGAUUUUAUUUUGACGGUGACGAAAAAUUUUUUGGAAAUAAUCGGGCAUUUGAAAAAUAUCCCUCGGCCAUAAAAACAUUUCAAAAAAAGAUUUCCUUCUGUGUCUUCCAUACCUUAAACGAAGAAAAUAACAAUGUUCUUGCCUCCGGUGAAGCAAGAGGGUUUUGGCAUUCCCGGCGAGAUGAAAACUUGCGAGAUCAUUUGUUUGCUAUCCUCAUGCCACGAGAUGUUGCCAAUAUACUUUAGCUUCAUUUAGCACCGGAGAGCAUCCGUCCCCGAGAACAUACAGUAACCGCAAAUCAACAUUGUAUAAGUCGGUUUGCAAGCCAGAAGCCAUUGGAUCUUUGUGGUCCACCUGGAUCUGGUAAAACAAUAACCUUAUUUUCGGCUAUGAGAGUUUUAACGGUAUGGAAAUGGUUUGUCCGCCCUAUUGUCCUUUCUAAAUGGCUCUCUUAAAGCCACACCCCAUUCGAUCAGGAUCAUCUACUGUUGGUCGGUGAGCUGACCAGACAACGUUAUCACUCCAAUUCCUGGAUGAAUGCACUCUCGGUAUUUCAAGUUAAAGUCAACAACAUUUACACUGCCGCAAAUUUGACGAAGAGAGCUCUUCGUUAGUGUUGAAUGCAAAGAUGAAAUGCAAUGCCUCAUGUUGGAGUCCAACGUCAUGGAUUUCGGUUUUCUUGAAAGGAUAACACUUUUGGUCAACGGAGAGUUGCCUCAGUUGAGUGAAAGAGACGAACACACCACCCCUAUGACGCAAAGAACGUCCUUAAAGCGAAGACCUGCUGGACUCCCAGGGAGUUUUAUGAAUGAGUUACGCAUGAAGUUGUGCGUAAUCUUUAGUUCGUUUUUGCUAUGUACCAGUCAUCGAAAGGAUCGUGCUUUUGCCCCAGCUGUUGUUCGACUGUUGCGAGCUCAUCUGGUUUGAUUUUGUUUUCGUGAUAGUUUUGUAAGGUUUACUAUAACCGAGUGUAUCUUGAAAGGCCCAACUGGAUCGCCAGUGUCCACUUCACAUCUGCGUUUCCUGUACCCACCGUCUUCUUCAUUUGAAUCUUCAGAUUCCAAAUUGGGAUCCCCAUGUGCAACCCGUGGUCCAUCGGACGACCCGUCUCGACACCACGUUCUUUCAUACAAGUAAUCGGAACAGCGAAAACGGAUCCUUCAAAUUCGGAACAACGAGCUGGAGAACCUAUCCUACCUCCGCAUGAGCCAUAUUAGCAGGAGCCACAAACAGGAGUAGCAAGAGCGGCCCGACCCUUAAAAGUGAUCUCUAAUUCAAUUCAACAGCAGAUGUCGAAUGGUCCUGGGAUCGCGAACUUAUUUGCCCGUUUAAUGUCGCCGAUUCGCAAAUGAUUUGUUUUUCCGUUUGCAUCGCAUCGAAUUCCAAACUUGAACGCUAUUUUGUUGCCGGAAGUGACAAAAGUUAUCCUAUCGGGAGAUAGAUUCUUUAUCAUAUCAGUGUGGUCCUAGUUCCUCCCCAGUUAUUCUGGUUGAACAAAUUGCAUCGCAGCUAGGAACUUUUUUGGGUUAUUCCAUGAAAAUUGCGUUUAUGGGGGCGUUUUUGAAAUCGCUCGAGGGCUACUAAUUAUCAAUAGUUUUUCCCAAUAUCACGGCGAUGACCUGCUCCGUAGCAUCCCAAAACCAUUUUCUUCUUAUUUGGAAACCUGUC